rnacentral:rRNA from 1 species
AUUGAACGCUGGCGGCAGCCUAACACAUGCAAGUCGAGCGGAACGAGUUAUCUGAACCUUCGGGGGACGAUAACGGCGUCGAGCGGCGGACGGGUGAGUAAUGCCUGGGAAAUUGCCCUGAUGUGGGGGAUAACCAUUGGAAACGAUGGCUAAUACCGCAUAAUGCCUUCGGGCCAAAGAGGGGGACCUUCGGGCCUCUCGCGUCAGGAUAUGCCCAGGUGGGAUUAGCUAGUUGGUGAGGUAAUGGCUCACCAAGGCGACGAUCCCUAGCUGGUCUGAGAGGAUGAUCAGCCACACUGGAACUGAGACACGGUCCAGACUCCUACGGGAGGCAGCAGUGGGGAAUAUUGCACAAUGGGCGCAAGCCUGAUGCAGCCAUGCCGCGUGUAUGAAGAAGGCCUUCGGGUUGUAAAGUACUUUCAGUCGUGAGGAAGGUGGUGCAGUUAAUAGCUGUAUUACUUGACGUUAGCGACAGAAGAAGCACCGGCUAACUCCGUGCCAGCAGCCGCGGUAAUACGGAGGGUGCGAGCGUUAAUCGGAAUUACUGGGCGUAAAGCGCAUGCAGGUGGUUUGUUAAGUCAGAUGUGAAAGCCCGGGGCUCAACCUCGGAAUUGCAUUUGAAACUGGCAGACUAGAGUACUGUAGAGGGGGGUAGAAUUUCAGGUGUAGCGGUGAAAUGCGUAGAGAUCUGAAGGAAUACCGGUGGCGAAGGCGGCCCCCUGGACAGAUACUGACACUCAGAUGCGAAAGCG